GCAAUUAUAAGAACAAUAAAUAAAAUUCCAAAUUUGAAAUCCAGAAAAUUACAACGGCUUUACUACAACCCACAUAAAAUAAUUUAAAGGUAAUAAUCAAAACUGUAACAUAAAUAGUUUGUGUGGCUUCCUCCGAGCCCCUAGCAACCCCGAUCCAUCUAAGGCUGGAAAUUACCUGAAAGGUUAAUAAACGGGGUGAGUUUACGAAAACUCAGUGUGAAAUCCCCUACUAUAAAAAGGAACAGUCAGUCAUCUAAAAGAAUUAAAAGUCUGGCCCCAACCUUACUUACAAUUUCAGUACCAAUCGGGUCUUAGCCCAUUACAACAGACAGUACCAGAUGGACCUUAGCCCAUUACAGAAUAAGAAACAUUAUCAGAAUUGGAACCAAAAUGAGAAUCAGAAUCAGAAUUAGUAACAGAAUCAGAAUCAGAAUUAGGUGACAGAAUCAGAAUCAGUAACAGAAUCAGAAUCAGAAUCAGUAUUAGUAACAGAAUCGAAAUCAGAAUCAGAAUUACGUGAUAGAAUCAGAAUCAGAAUCAGAAUUACGUGACAGAAUCAGAAUGUGAAUGCAAUCCCAACCCAAUCCAGCCGUAUACACCCCCGUACCAACCUUACACCAUGUGGGGAGACAACUUGACCCACCCAUCCGCUACACACCACAGAAUUUGCAGCAUGGCUGCCAGAACAGAUAUCAUGACAGAGUCACCAGAUACAGAUAUUGUGGCAGAGCCACCAGAAUCAAAUAAUAUGGCAAACCCACCUAACAGAAUACGUGGCACAAAGCCAUAGAUAACUGUAAUAACUUCGGCACAUAGCCAUCAGUGACGGUAAUAUAACUGGCGCACAGCCUUCGGUAAAUAUGAUCGACACAGAGUCGUCAACAAAUAUGUUAGGCACAUAGCUACAGGUAAAUACGUUUGGCACGAAGCCAUAGUCAAGAUGGCACAAAGCCAUAUUUAGGUUGGCACAGAGCCAUUAAUAACGGGGCUAUAAUCGGCACGAAGCCCACAACAACGGCACACAGCCUUCGGUAGCGUGAUCGGCACUUAGCCAUCGAUCGGUCAACAGAUAUUGUGAUAGAGUCACCAAAUACAGAUAUUGUGGCAGAGCCACCAGAACAGAUAUUUGUGGCAUAGCCACCAGAACGCUUCCUCCGUACAAAAUCCCAACCCAUGCAACAUGUCAUGCAUGCAGAAUGUCAUGCCCAUAUUUGAAUCAAACAAUCACAGUCAAGUCAUUCAUAUCACCAACAUAUGUUCACAAUCAAAUCCGUCAAACACACAAUCCAAGUCAGUCACUUGCCCACAAGGGCAAAACAGUCAUUUAACACCCUAAGGGCAAAAUGGUAAUUUUACCCCAUAAGGGUAUCUCGGUAAUUCUACCCUACAGGGGUAUUUCGGUAUUUCUACCCUACAAGGGUAUUUCGAUAAUUCUACCCUACAGGGGUAUUUUGGUAAUUCUGUCCUAUAAGGGUAUUUUAGUAAUUCUACCCUAUAGGGGUAUUUUGGAAAUUCUACCCUAUAGGGGUAUUUCAGUAAUUUCACAAUCAAUGGUAAAAUGGUAAUUCUGUAAAUCGAGGAUAAAACGAUAAUUUUGUAAACUAAGGGUAAACCAGUAAUUCUAUAAAUCAAGGGUAAAGUAGUAAUUUUACAAAUCAAGGGUAAAACGGUAAUUCUGUAAAUCGAGGGUAAAACAGUAAUUCUAUAAACUGAGGGUAAAACGGUAAUUCUAUAAAUCGAGGGUAAAAUAGUAAUUCUGUAAAUCGAGGGUAAAACGGUAAUUCUAUAAAUCGAGGGUAAAAUAGUAAUUCUGUAAACUGAGGGUAAAACGGUAAUUCUGUAAAUCGAGGGUAAAACGAUAAUUCUGUAAAAUGAGGGUAAAACGGUAAUUCUGUAAAUCGAGGGUAAAACGGUAAUUUUACAAAUCGAGGGUAAAACAGUAAUUCUAUAAAUCGAGGGUAAAAUAGUAUUUCUGUAAACUGAUGGUAAAAUGGUAAUUCUGUAAAUCGAGGGUAAAACGGUAAUUCUGUAAACUGAGGGUAAAAUGGUAAUUUUACAAAUCGAGGGUAAAACAGUAAUUCUAUAAAUCGGGAGUACUUUGGUAAUUUUACAAGUCGAGGGAAUUUCAGUAAUUGGUAAACUAAAGUAUUCUAAACAUGGAUAACAAUACGAAUGGGCCUAAAGCCUAUUCUCGGCCCAAAUGGGCCCACACGCUCGUGUGGCCCUUUUAGCCCAAACCUAGCCACAGAUAUGCGAUUCACCUAGCCUAGUCCAAUAUUUACUACACAAUCAAACAACUUAUCCAAUUGGGCCCGUAGGUCCAUUGGGCCCACAUGGCCCCUUUCGGCCCAUCGCGGCCCGAAGUAGCCAUCCAACAACAAGAGUAGUGAUAAAUACAGACCUGAUUGGAGACUGGAGUUAAUCCACGCUCCGAGCACUCUUAGCCGACGCCCAACCCAAACGAGCACGCCAUAAAGCGAAAGGGAUCAGCCAAG
rnacentral:lncRNA from 1 species